AUGGGCAUGAGGGCCCCUGCUCAGCUCCUGGGCCUCCUGAUGCUCUGUUUCCUAGGUGCUAGAUGUUCUGCCAACACACUGACCCAGACUCCAUCCGAGGUGUCUGCAAAUGUGGGAGGCACAGUCACCAUCAAGUGCGAGUCAGAUAAGAGUGUUGCUUACAAUUAUCUAGGCUGGUUUCAGCAGAAAGCAGUGCAACCUCCGAAGCUCCUGAUCUAUGGUGCAUCCACUUUAGAUUCUGGGGUCCCUGACAGGUUCAAGGGCAGUGGAUCUGGGACAUCAUUCACUCUCACCAUCAGCGGGGUGCAGGCUGAUGAUGCAGGAAUCUACUACUGUGAAGCUUACUAUGCUACUAGUAGUGAUCGUUUCACCACAGUGAUACAAGCAUGA